AAAAAAGGUAAGCUACUAAGAGCGAAUGGUGGAUGCCUUGACUGGUAAAGGCGAUGAAGGACGUACUAGACUGCGAUAAGCUACGGGGAGCUGUCAAGAAGCUUUGAUCCGUAGAUUUCCGAAUGGGGCAACCCAAUGUAUAGAGAUAUACAUUACCUAUAUAGGAGCGAACGAGGGGAAUUGAAACAUCUUAGUACCCUCAGGAAAAGAAAUCAAUAGAGAUUGCGUCAGUAGCGGCGAGCGAAAG
rnacentral:rRNA from 1 species